rnacentral:rRNA from 1 species
AGUGAACGCUGGCGGUAGGCCUAACACAUGCAAGUCGAACGGCAGCACAGUAAGAGCUUGCUCUUACGGGUGGCGAGUGGCGGACGGGUGAGGAAUACAUCGGAAUCUACUUUUUCGUGGGGGAUAACGUAGGGAAACUUACGCUAAUACCGCAUACGACCUACGGGUGAAAGCAGGGGAUCUUCGGACCUUGCGCGAUUGAAUGAGCCGAUGUCGGAUUAGCUAGAUGGCGGGGUAAAGGCCCACCAAGGCGACGAUCCGUAUCUGGUCUGAGAGGAAGAUCCGCCACACUGGAACGGAGACACAGUCCAGACUCCUACGGGAGGCAGCAGUGGGGAAUAUUGGACGAUGGGCGCAAGCCUGAUCCAGCCAUACCGCGUGGGUCAAGAAGGCCUUCGGGUUGUAAAGCCCUUUUGUUGGGAAAGAAAAGCAGCAGGUUAAUACCCCGCUGUUCUGACGGUACCCAAAGAAUAAGCACCGGCUAACUUCGUG